rnacentral:lncRNA from 1 species
UUUUGGCUGCUAUAACAGAAUAUCACACACUGGUAAUUAAUAAAGAAUAGAAUUUUAUUUGACUCAUGAUUCUGGAGGCUGGGAAGCCAAAACAACAUUAUACUGGUAUAUGUUGAAGGUCUAGUUGCUGGAUAAUAACAUACACAAAGAUGUGAGGGAGAGAGAGCUUUUUUUUUUUAAUAUAUAACAGAUCCAUUCUUGUUAUAAUUAGCCCAUUCCCAUAAUAAGAACGUUAAUCCAUUCAUGAGGGCAGAGUGCUUAUAGCUUAAUUAAUUUUUAAAGGUUCCACCUGUUAAUUCUAACAUGUUGGCUAUUAAAUUUUAUCCUAAAUUUUGGAGAUGACAUUCAGUGUACAGCAGUAUCUGUUUAGUAGAUACUUUAAUCUUUUUAUUUGUAAGGUAGUGAUAGGUAAGCAGUUACUAUUGUACAUUUGUAGUUUUCUGUCCAUUUUAAGUUUGCUUCUUUUUUUUCUGGUUCUGUCUUUCCUGUGGUAUUGUUCAUUUUUGUUGAGACAAAGUUAUGCUUUCUUGCUCAGACUGAAGUGCAGUGGCAUAUCACAGCUCACUGUAGCCUUAACCUCCUGGGCUCAAAUAAUCGUCCCACCUUAGCCACCCAAGUAGCUUGGACUGCAGACAUGUACCACAACACCCAAGGAGAUUUGAUUCUUCCACCUUGGCCUCCCAAAGUGUUGGAAUUAUAAGCAGGAGACACCAUAUCCAAUGUGUAAUUUUUGUUGUUUGUGUAUGCUUUAAUUACUUUCUCUUUUUCUUUACUAUUUUUUUUUCCUACUGGUUAUCAUGAGACUUAUGUAAAACAUCUUGUAUUUUAAUAGUCUAGUUUAAGAUGAUAACAAUUUAUAGUAUUCUGAAAUUCAGUAUGUAUUUACCAUUUUAGUGACAUUUAUACUUUAGUAUUUUUCAUAUUGUUAGUUAGCAUUUCAUCAUAUCAAUGUGAAGAUUUCUUCCAGACCAUGGCUGGAGAAGGAAAGAAGGUGUGUUUUGCCUGAUUCAGGGACUAUAGAGAGAACCAAGUUCUGCAGGCCUGUCAUCUAAGUCUCAGGGCGGGGAGACCUUCCUUCCCCACGGGUUUGAGGCUAUGGCUAAGUGGUGAGCCUUGGUGAGACGCAGAAAGGAUCCAUCCCAGGCACUUGGCUAGAGGCUGAAUGCUAUCCCAGUGAUUGUACGUGCCCUGUUUGCUGAAUCUACUCAUCCUUAAGGGUACAUUUGCUUCCAGGUAACAUGUUUGUGACUAAUACUACAAUGUGCAUAUAUCUAUUCCAUGUUCUGCUUUGUCUGUUUGGGAUAUUUUUCAUACACUGAUUCAGUACCAUGUGUAUUCCCUUGCUUUUGUUGUCUCAUCCGUUGAUGUUACGUCCCCCAAAUUAUUGCCACGACCAGUUGUCAUGAAGCUUCACCCUUCUGUAUUGUGCUAGGAAUUUUACAGCUAUAGGUUUUACAUUAUAGUCUUCAUUCAUUUUUUAAAAUUGACACAUGUAAUUGUGCAUAUUUUGGGGAAACAAUUAUAUAUAUAUGUUGUAUAACAAUAAAAAUCAGAGUACUUCUAUACUUGUUGCCUCAUGCAUUUGUUAUUUUUGUGGUGAGAAUAUUCAAAAGCUUCUUCUCUAGCUAUUUUAUUUUAUCUUUAAGUAUUAAAUUUUUUUAGAGACAGGAUCUUGCUCUAACACCCAGACUGGUGUGCAGUGGUGCAAUCUUAGCUCACUGUAACUUCAAACAGUCUUCUAACCUUAGUUUCCCAAUUAGCUGAGACUACAGGAAGCUGCCACCAUGCCUGGCUAAUGUUUUAAUUUUUCAUAGAGACAGGGUCACACUAUGUUGUCCAGGCUCAUCUUGAACUUCUGACGUCAAGUGAUUCUCCUACCUCAGUCUCCCAAAAUGUAUGGAUUGCAAGAAUGUGCCACCGAAACUGGUCUCUUUUAGCUAUUUUGUAAUAUGAGAUAACUUUUCAUUAAUUAUUAUUAUUCUACUGUGUAAUAAAAAACAAAAACUUAUUUCCCCUAUCUAAUCAUAACACAAUACCUGUGAAGCAACCUUUUCCCAUCCUCCUGCUUCAGUCUCUGGUAACCCCUGUUGUACUCUUUGCUUCUAUCAACCCUUUUUUUCAGGUUCCUCAAAUGAGUGAGAUAAUAAGAUCAUAAAGUAUUUGUGUUUCUCUAUGUGGCUUAUUUUACUUAACAUGGUAUGCUCAAGGUUCAUCCAUGCUCUUUUAACUGACAGAAUUUUAUGCUUUCUUAUGGCUGAAUAGUAUUUCGCUGUGUAUAUAUAGUACAUUUUCCUUAUCCAUUUAUCUGUUGCUGUACAUUUGAAUUGAUUCCAUAUAUAAGCUAUUAUAAAUAGUUCUGUAAUGAACAUGGGAAUGCAAAUAUCUUUUUGACACAGUAAUAUCCUUUCUUUUGGAUAUACACCCAGAAGUAAAAUUGCUGGAUCAUAUAAUAGAUAUAUUUUUAAUUUCUUUCAGAAACCUCCAUACUAUUUUCUAUAAUGGCCAUACUAAUUUACAAUUCCACCAACAAGGUAUACAUCCACUCUUUUUUAUAUCCUCAUUAGUUCUUGAUUUAUUUAUUUAUUUUUAUUAUAGCCACUCUAAUGGGAAUGAGGCGGUACUUCAUUAUGGUUUGGAUUUGCAUUUCCUUGGUGAUUAGUAAUGUAGAGCAUCUUUUUAUGUUCCAGUUAGCAUUUUUGUAUCUCUUUUUGACAAACAUCUAUUAAGAUCUUUUGCAUUUUUAAAGUUAGAUUAUAAGUGUAUUUUAUUUUGAGAUUUUAAAGUUUCUUAUAUAUUCUGAAUAUUAGCCUUUUGUCACAUGUAUAUGAAAACAUUUUCUGUCAUUGCCUAAGCUGUCUCUUCAAACUUCUAGUUGUUUUUUUAAUAUGGAAAAGCAUUUUAGUUUGACAUAAUGUUGUUUGCUUAUUCUCGAUUUUGUUGCCCAUGUUUUGAAAUCUUAUUUUAAUAAUCCUUUCCCCAUCCAAUGUUAUAAAGCAUUUUUUUAUGUUUUUCUCUAAUAGUUUCAUAAUUGAUGGCAUUACAUUUAAGUCUUUAGUUUUAGUUGAUUAUCAUAUAUGGCAAGGUACAAGGGUCUAGUAUUAUUUUUCUGCAUAUAAAUAUUUAAGUGGCCCUGCACCAUUUAUUAAAGAGAUUAGCUUUUCUCUAAAGUGUGUUCUUGGCAAUUUUGUUGACAAUCAGUUGGCUUUAGGUGCAUAAAUUAACUUCUGGGCUUAUUCGGCACAUUAGUCUAUGAGUUUGUUUUUAUGCCAGUACAGUGCUGUUUUGGUUACUGUAGCUUUAUAGCAAGUUUUGAAGUUUGAUGAAGUGAUGCCUUUAGCUUUGCUUAUUUUGCUCAAAGUUGCUUUGUCUAUUCAGAGUUUUUUGUGGAUCCAUAUAAAUUUAAAUUUUUUUUAUUUCUGUGAAAAAAUGUCAUUGGUACUUUGAUAAAAAUCACAUUAAGUCUGUAGAUCACUUUGGGUAGAUAGAUCAAGAGUAUUCUUCCAGUGUAUAAACACAAUAUUUUUUCAUUUAUUCAUUUGUAUUUUAUAUUUUUUAUCCAUGUUUUGUCGUUUUCAGAGUAGAGAUCUUUUACCUUUUUAGUUAAGUUUGUUGCUAGGUGUAUUAGUUGGGCUUCCCUAGAGAGAUCAUGAGAUCCCACAAUAGGUUGUCUGCAAGUUUGAGGAGCAAGGAGAGGCGGUCCAUGUCCCAAAGCUGAAGAACUUGGAGUCUGAUGUUUGAGGGCUGCAAGUGUCCAGCACAGGAGAAAGAUGUAGUCUGGGAGCUUAGGCCAGUCUCUCUUUUUCACGUUUUUCUGCCUGCUUUAUAUUCACUGUCAGCUCAUUAGAUGGUGCUCACCCAAUUAAGAGUGGAUCUCCCUUUCCCAGCCCACUGACUCAAAUGUUAAUCUCCUUUGGCAACACCCUCACAGACACACCCA